rnacentral:rRNA from 1 species
GACGAACGCUGGCGGCGUGCUUAGCACAUGCAAGUCGAACGGAAAGGCCCUGCUUGCAGGGUACUCGAGUGGCGAACGGGUGAGUAACACGUGGGUGAUCUGCCCUGCACUUCGGGAUAAGCCUGGGAAACUGGGUCUAAUACCGGAUAGGAGCCAUUUUUAGUGUGAUGGUUGGAAAGUUUUUUCGGUGUAGGAUGAGCUCGCGGCCUAUCAGCUUGUUGGUGGGGUAAUGGCCUACCAAGGCGGCGACGGGUAGCCGGCCUGAGAGGGUGGACGGCCACAUUGGGACUGAGAUACGGCCCAGACUCCUACGGGAGGCAGCAGUGGGGAAUAUUGCACAAUGGGCGCAAGCCUGAUGCAGCGACGCCGCGUGGGGGAUGACGGCCUUCGGGUUGUAAACUCCUUUCGCUAGGGACGAAGCUUUUGUGACGGUACCUAGAUAAGAAGCACCGGCUAACUACGUG